rnacentral:rRNA from 1 species
GAUCCGAAGGGUCAACUCCCAAACCCCUGUGAACAUACCACUUGUUGCCUCGGCGGAUCAGCCCGCUCCCGGUAAAACGGGACGGCCCGCCAGAGGACCCCUAAACUCUGUUUCUAUAUGUAACUUCUGAGUAAAACCAUAAAUAAAUCAAAACUUUCAACAACGGAUCUCUUGGUUCUGGCAUCGAUGAAGAACGCAGCAAAAUGCGAUAAGUAAUGUGAAUUGCAGAAUUCAGUGAAUCAUCGAAUCUUUGAACGCACAUUGCGCCCGCCAGUAUUCUGGCGGGCAUGCCUGUUCGAGCGUCAUUUCAACCCUCAAGCACAGCUUGGUGUUGGGACUCGCGUUAAUUCGCGUUCCCCAAAUUGAUUGGCGGUCACGUCGAGCUUCCAUAGCGUAGUAGUAAAACCCUCGUUACUGGUAAUCGUCGCGGCCACGCCGUUAAACCCCAACUUCUGAAUGUUGACCUCGGAUCAGGUAGGAAUACCCGCUGAACUUAAGCAUAUCAAUAA